CGCAGAGUAAAUUUGCAGCGUUAAGUGUUAAAGGCUGGGAAGUCGCCUUUAAACGAAGGUAGUACCGCGACUGUAAAUUGCAUCCGCUGCA
rnacentral:ncRNA from 2 species